UUUCCGUUCAGGUUUCCUAAGUGGGACAGGGGCAUUUAGGCUAUUCGUUCCACCAAGUCUACUCUACCAUUUGAUCAUGGUUGAUCUAUCUCUCCCCUCUCAAUCCCGUUCUCCUGCCUUCUCCCCAUAACCUGACACCCGUACUAAUCAAAAAUCUAUGUCUGCCUUGAAAAAUAUCCAUUGACUUGGCCUCCAGGGCCUUCUGUGGCAGUGGCGAUGGCAAGUGAAGGCUAACUGAAGAGAGAAGGUGCAACAAAGAAAUUACCCUUGCAUUUUCACAAUGUUCUUAGUCAUCAGUGAAUGUUAGCCAUGCAUUGCCCCUUUUGAAUAAAAAUCUGAUUCCUUCACCCCCAGCCUUUUAAUUAUUUAUGGUUAAAUACAAACUGCUGGAGGAACUCUGCAGAUCAGGCAGCAUCUGGAGGGUAUGAGACAGACAUCGUUUUGAGCUGGGACCCUUCUUCAGAUUAAAACGUCAUCUGUCUCUUUCACUCCAUGGACGCUACCUGAACUCGGGCAGUGCGGCACGGUGAUGCAGCGGUAGAGUUGCUGCCUUACCCUGCUUUCAGCCCCAGAGACCCGGGUUCGAUCCCGACUACGGGUGCUGUCUGUACAGAGUUUGUACGUUCUCCCUGCGAACCCGUGGGUUUUCUCCGAGAUCUUCGGUUUCCUCCCACGCUCCAAAUACGUACAGGUUUGUAGUUUAACUGGCCUGGUGUUUGUGUAAAUUGUCCCUGGUGUGUGCAGGAUAGAGUUAAUGUGUGGGGAUCGCUGGUCAGUGCGGACUCGGUGGGCUGAAGGGCCUGUUUCCGCGCUGUAUCUCUAAACUAAAACUAAAACCGUCUCGACCCGAAACGUCACUCACUCCUUCUCUCCAGAGAUGCUGCCUGUCCCACGGAGUUACUCUAGCUUUUUGUGUCUAUCUUCGGUAGAAAUCAGCGUCUGCAGUUCCUUCCUACACAUAAAACUAAAACUCCUCCAAAUGUUUUUUUUUUAAAACUCAAGAUUUCAGCCCCUGCAGUCUCUUGUGUCCGUCGUUCUUUGGUUCCUUUUGAAGUGUGAGGGUGAAAUUAGUCUCUCUUCUCCCCCCCCCAGUGAAGAGGAAUAUCAAUGGAUCAUAAGCUGACAGUUUCACACUUUGCUUGAACUUCUCCAGUGUGAGUUCAAAAGGAAAAUAAAAUUGGACGCCGUGUAAAAGUGGCUAUUGAUUUGUUCCGUUUGGCAUGGUUGGGGAAAGCCCGAUUUCACUCUUGUGCCCUUGCCGGGCUGGUCACUGUGAUAAGCAGUCGUGUCACGUCGCAAUAACCCAGUCGAUCGCAGUUGGAUUUACAGCCGCUGAUUACAGCUGUUAUUGCGGGGCCAUGAUCGACAAUUUGUACCCUGGUCUCGGAACGGGUUCGCCCCAUCUGCACAUUCAUCGCCACCUCCACAGAAAGCGCGGGAAACGCUUAGUAAAUCAGACAACGCGGCCUGGAGUGAACGGAGGGCCAGUGACCUUUCCACAGAAAUAGUUCCAGCACUGUUUUCCUGCCAAGUUUCCAGUCCCUCAAGUAUUUUACUGUUGCAUAUUAAGGCACACAGUCCUGGCUAUGACUUCAUAAGUUCUUAAGUUAAAGGAGUAGAAUUACUCCGAAGGACCCAACCUCUUCAGAUUUCAGUUAUUAGCAUCGUUCAAUUAUUAUGUGGUCUGAAUUUCUAAAUUAAGCUCAGUUCCGUCUUAUGAUCAUAAGUGAAUUAGCAGAAUGAGGCCAUUCGGCCCAUCAAGCCAACCAAUCACGGCUGAUCUAUCUUUCCCUCACAACCCCAUUCUCCUGCCUUCUUCCCGUAACCCCUGACACCCGUGCUAUUCAAAAAUUCAAGCCUUUGAAAAAAAUAUCCAUCGAUUCGGCCUCCACAGCCGUCUGUGGCAAUGAAUUCCACAGAUUUGCCAUCCUCUGACUAAAGAAAUUCCUCCUCAUCUCCUUUCUAAAGGUACGUCCUUUAUUUCUGAGGCUGUGACCUCUGGUCCGCGACUCUCCCACUAGUAGAAACAUCCUCUCCGCACCCAUCCUCUCCACAUCCACCCUAUCCAGAUUGCUGAACUAAUCUAGCCCCUAUUGCAAUGAUGUGCGGAUGCCCUAUAUUAGGUUGGAAGCUUCAACCCAUUGGAGUGCACUUCAGCAUUCUCAAGGGUACUGAACAUGAGUUUUCAUCUCUCUGUAUAAAUGAAGUGUACACCUAAAUUCUAAAUUAUUUGGUGUGUACUUUCAAUAGCAGGACUCCCUGUCAGGAACUAUCCAUGCAAACAAUUACACUCAUAUUUUUGAUUUAUUUUGUUCUCAAAACAUAUAAAGGACAGCACGGUGGUGCAGCAGUAGAGUUACUGCCUCACAGCACCAGAGACCCGGGUUCGAUCCUGACUACGGGUGCUUGUCUGUAUGGAGAUUGUACGUUCUCCCCGUGAUCUGCGUGGGUUUUACCCAGGUGCUCUGGUUUCCUCCCACACUCCAAAGACGUACAGGUUUGUAGGCUAAUUGACUUGGUAUAAUUUAAAUUGGCCUUAGUGUGUGUCAGAUAGUAUAAGUGUGCGGGGAUCGCUGGUCGGUGCGGACUCGGUGGGCCGAAGGACCACGCAGUGUCUCGAAACUAAACUAAAAUGACACUCCUGCAAUUUUUCCCUUUUCACCGCAAAUUGAAAAGAGGACUUUUUUUUUUCUCUUGUUUCUGGAAUCCUGUUUGCAGCUAUCAAACAUUUCUCAUCUGUUUCCAUUUGCCCUGGACCUUUUUCCUUCUCCAUAAGUAGUUAAGGUAACUUGAUAUUUUUACGCAGCAGUGUUGCAGCAUUUCAAGAACACGGGAUUCCAAGUGUGGAAGGAAUGUACUUUUUAAAUGUCCAUUUCUCGAUAGAUUUCGGAAUGGCAACUUUUUUUGAUUCGAACCUAUAACUAUGCUUGAGUGUUUCUUGGUGAAGGACUGUUUUUGGGGAGGGAGGGGAGAGUGGUUGAGGGCAGUUUCAGUAACAAGGGGACAUGCUAGUGUGACUUAUCGCCUUGGAAUUUGCCGAUCUUGCUCCAAUUGCCUUCUGCAGCAAUCAAGUGAUUUUUGAUAAAAGUUUUAAUUUUUUUUUUCUCUUUUCAGUUUUUCUUCUUGGCAGAAACUGGGAAUUUAUUUGAAAUGUUGUGAGUUAUUUGAAAGGAUCCAAGUACACCAGCAUAAACUGGAAUUAGGUAGUGUUCCGAUUGUGUCCCACUUUUAUGAUUUUUCUUUAAGACUUUGCAAGUUAAGCGUAGUUAAUUUCCGUUCAUUUUUAGUGAGGUUGUUCUGUGAUUAUUAGAAACUUAAAUAUACAAUGUGUUAGGAGCAACAAUUGUACAGAACAAUCUUUGCAGUUAUGUGCUAACUUGCAGCAAUAUAUAUAUAAAUUUAAUAAGAUUUUUGAAUGUUUGAACAGUAAAAUGCUUUAAUCUUACUGUGGUGCUGUAACAUGAGCAGUGGGGAACCCACUUGAUCAGUAUUCAAAACAAAACAUCUUAAAGAGAGAUGUUCAUGUGUGUGUGUGCGUGUUUACAGAGAUCGUGUCAUGAGUAGGUUGUCUGUUGUUUGCACAGUAUUGUACAAAUAGUGACUGCUUUGACCACAUAUAGAUCUAGGCAUUUAAUGGGACACAGCAGGGAACAGUAGGGCUGCUUACCCCGUUACAAGGACAGGCCCAUAACUUUAAACUAAACUACUGUUAUCUGGUAAACCUAUCCAUGUUACUUCCCCAAUUUAUUUAAUUAUUUCAGAAAUAACCAAUCUCAUCUGAGUGUGUACAAGCUGUGAAAGUCGUGAAAAGCUUCCGACUGAAUGAAACUGAGGUUAUUUGGGUUUCUUACUUGCUAAUUCUUUAGCAAAUUGUCUCUUCUCCCCACCCCUCCGUAGACUGCUCCUACUGCAAUCCAUUAAUCCCUUGACCAAAAUGUAUAAGGUGUUAGUCAGUCCUCUCAAUACCGCUGGAGUGAACAUUAAUAAUAAGAGCCAGAGCCAUCUUUAAACCCACAAAUAUUAAUUAUAGCGAGUUAAAGCACUAACCAAAUGAAUAUGAAGCUAGUCACUUGGAUGCAAUCCAACUGGGCCACUUGGUCCCAAUGGUCUACACAGGCGUUUAAUACUCUACAGGAGUAGCACACUUUGAAUGUGAAGGAGAGUUGUCAUGAUGUCAGGUUAUGUUUUGCAGUGCAUGACUUUUUCCCCCAUAACUAUUCCGAUCAUAAAGGGUGCUGCUAACUUUUAACAGUGUGGACUGAUGUUGGUGGGAAACACAGCAUUAAAGAAAAUCGAAAAGGAUUUUUUUUUUUUUUUUUUUUUUUUUUUAAACUUUGUGUCCGAACUAGGUCUUAUCCCCAGAGGUGUGAUGCCCAGGGUAUCGUACAGAAUGAAACUUGCGCAAAAGAAACCGACUUUAACUUGGUGCCGAUUAAGAAAGCAGUCACAAUUUGUUCUGGUGUACUAUAUAUACACACCCUUGGGCUGGGAAUGCAGGGGAAGGAUAUCAGAAUAUUGGUGACUUUUGAUGCAAGCAAAAAAACCUCCAGCAAAUGUUGGAGCGUUAAACACAGCGUUAAAGAAUAUCUUUGAGCAGCAUUUUGUGCAUCAGCCGCGGGUGUAGUUUUCUUGAACGCUUAUUGAGUUGCAAAGCCUGCGACAAUUACGGAUAAUAACUACCGAGAAGGAAAAAUGUCGGUUUGGUUUAUUGUCACGUGUACCGAGGGGCAGUGAAAAAGCUUUUGCUGCGUGCCAACCGGUCAGCGGAAAGACAAUCCGCGAUUAGAAUCGAGCCUUUUACAGUGUGUGGAUACAUGUUGAGGGAGUAACGUUUAGUGCAAGGUAAAGCCAGCAAAGUACGAUAAAAGUAAGAAAUGUUGCCGUGGGAGUAGAGAUUUAAGAGUGUGGAGCGAUUGUAAUAUGGGAUUGUAGAUCUGCGUCUGUGGCUAGCAUGCAAAUAGUCGCCAUCUUGGGUUGGACGCCAUCUUGGGUUGGACGCCAUCUUGGAAUCAAACACUUGUACCUGGAUAAAUAAAACCAUACUUGCUUUGGAAUUGAUUUGAUGCUUUCUUCCUACAUCCCCUCGCCAACUUUUUGCUGAUACUGUGAUUUUAAUAAUUAUAUCACUAAAAGAGAUGGUUAUAGCGAUGGAAAUGAUGUGUUCAUUUAAAGAAAAUGUUUUAAAACGCUCCCCUCAACUUGGAAAUGUGAUAUUCUAAUAGUGUACAACACUGGUUUUCAUUUCAGUCCUUUUGUGUUCACUUGCUAUUCAUUUUAAGUGCCUUUUGUAUCACUUAGCAUCGAAGCAUAUGUUAAAAAUCAAAGGUGUUUAUUUUUAUUUUUUUAAACUGUGGGGAGUUCUAAAAUUGGCACCUCCACAGCCUUCUAAAGGGGAGCCAGCCUUCAGAAAUAACUGGCUCAGUGUUCACCACAUCCCAGGGUACAUAAUUGGUAGCACGCAAAAAAAAAAAACCCCACCCUUCCAGAGUUCACGGAGGGCAAAUAUCAGGAGAAAAA